rnacentral:rRNA from 1 species
GACCGUGCGAAGGUAGCAUAAUCAUUAGUUUUUUAAUUGAAGGCUAGAAUGAAUGGUUGGACAAGAAAUAAUCUGUCUUAAUUAAAUAUAUUGAAUUUAACUUUUAAGUGAAAAGGCUUAAAUAAUCCGAAGGGACGAUAAGACCCUAUAAAACUUUAUAUUUGUAAAUUAAUAGCUAAUUUUAUUUAAAUAUAUUAUUUAAAAAUAUUUUGUUGGGGUGACAAGGAUAAAAUUAAAAGUAACUGUCCUUUUUUAUUACAAUAAUGUUUGGUUUAAUGAUCCUUAAAUGGAUUUAAGAUUAAGUUACUUUAGGGAUAACAGCGUAAUUUUCUUUAAGAGUUCAUAUCGACAAGAAAGUUUGCGACCUCGAUGUUGAAUUAAAAGUUCUUUAUAGAGUAGAGACUAUAAGAGAAGGUCUGUUCGACCUUUAAAUUUUUACAUGAUUUGAGUUCAGACCGGUGUAAGCCAGGUUGGUUUCUAUCUA